UAGCGCGCAGGGAAGGCUGGUCACCCCACCCUAAUCUUGUUAUGCAAAUAGGCUUCCCACUUGGCAGGGGCCGUCUUGUCCACUCGUUUCUGUAAACAUGGGUGGCAAAAAGAGAAGAUGGAGCUGCCAUUUAGAACAUGCCUAAUCCCAGCUUCAUCUUGCUGAGCAAAAAUGAAGGAGCCUGGACCCAACUUUGUUACUGUGAGAAAGGGUCUUCAUUCAUUCAAGAUGGCAUUUGUUAAGCACCUACUGUGAGUAGAUGAUCUCCUGUCAAAGACAGUUAACAAAUCCUCGGAAUAUUGCUUCAUGUACAGUUAUUGGAGAUGAGUAACUUACAUUCUCUUAAUUGUAAUGGUUCCUUGGAAAGUCAUCGUGGAAAAUGAAGGCUGGCUCAUACAUUUUCCCAGACAGGAAUUUGGCUGCCAACAGGGAAUUCUAAACAACUAAAAACUCCAGAUGAUGAAUGCACAACAUAAUGAUGGUUAAAUUAAAAAAAAAAAAGAGCACGGCUGGAGUGCAGUGGUUCAAUCACGGAUCACUGCAGCCUCCACCUCCCAGUUCAAGAAAUUCUCAUGUCUCAGCCUCCUGAGCAGCUAGGAUUACAGACAAACCUUGGAAAUCAAGAAAGUUCUGGAAUGAUGAAGCUGUUCAUGCCAAGACCGAAAGUGCUGGCCCAGUAUGAGUCCAUUCAGUUCAUGCCGUGACAAUUUUCUUGGAACUCCUUUUUAUUGUUAGUUCUCACUUGUUUCCAUAUUUAGUGAAUGUACAUUUAAUUGCAAAGCUGUCAUUAAUAAAAAUUCUUAUAGUACCUCAAAAAAAAAAAAA
rnacentral:lncRNA from 1 species